rnacentral:tRNA from 1 species
UGGACUGUAAUGGUGCUAUUUAGUAGCACUCCGUCAUGGGGUGUCUGGGGUCGUAGGUUCAAAUCCUAUCAUGCCGACCA